GGGGAAUAUUGCACAAUGGAGGAAACUCUGAUGCAGCGAUGCCGCGUGAGGGAAGAAGGUUUUAGGAUUGUAAACCUCUGUCUUCAGGGACGAAAAAAGGACGGUACCUGAGGAGGAAGCUCCGGCUAACUACGUGCCAGCAGCCGCGGUAAUACGUAGGGAGCGAGCGUUGUCCGGAAUUACUGGGUGUAAAGGGAGCGUAGGCGGGAUCGCAAGUCAGAUGUGAAAACUAUGGGCUUAACUCAUAAACUGCAUUUGAAACUGUGGUUCUUGAGUGAAGUAGAGGUAAGCGGAAUUCCUAGUGUAGCGGUGAAAUGCGUAGAUAUUAGGAGGAACAUCAGUGGCGAAGGCGGCUUACUGGGCUUUAACUGACGCUGAGGCUCGAAAGCGUGAGGAGCAAACAGGAUUAGAUACCCUGGUAGUCCACGCCGUAAACGAUGAUUACUAGGUGUGGGGGGACUGACCCCUUCCGUGCCGCAGCAAACGCAAUAAGUAAUCCACCUGGGGAGUACGACCGCAAGGUUGAAACUCAAAGGAAUUGACGGGGGCCCGCACAAGCAGUGGAGUAUGUGGAUUAAUUCGAAGCAACGCGAAGAACCUUACCAGGUCUUGACAUCGUAUGCAUAGCUCAGAGAUGAGUGAAAUCUCUUCGGAGACAUAUAGACAGGUGGUGCAUGGUUGUCGUCAGCUCGUGUCGUGAGAUGUUGGGUUAAGUCCCGCAACGAGCGCAACCCUUACUGUUAGUUGCUACGCAAGAGCACUCUAGCAGGACUGCCGUUGACAAAACGGAGGAAGGUGGGGAUGACGUCAAAUCAUCAUGCCCCUUAUGACCUGGGCCUCACACGUACUACAAUGGCUGUAAACAGAGGGAAGCAAAGCCGCGAGGUAGAGCGAACCCCUAAAAGCAGUCUUAGUUCGGAUUGUAGGCUGCAACCCGCCUACAUGAAGUCGGAAUUGCUAGUAAUCGCAGAUCAGCAUGCUGCGGUGAAUACGUUCCCG
rnacentral:rRNA from 1 species